AUAGCCUCGAUCCCAGGCCGAGUUUUCGCUUUUAUAACGGUUAGGCGAACAACUGGGCCUGGUACUAGUUGUCUGCGCAUGCGUCAAUCGUUCGUCAGAUUCUGACGAAUGGAUAUUCUCGUUCACUUUCGUGACAUUUAUAUUCGUGUACUAUCGUGUACUAGAAGUCAGUUCCCGUUUUAUCAUUAUUGGAAUCGAUUGGAAUGGCUCUUAGCUGAAGCUUCUCUCUUCUCUGAAGCUUAUUCUGAAGACUGAACAACAAGGGAAGAGGUAUAAAGCUUUGUCAAGCUUGUUAAGGUCAGAUAUUUUUGUAUGGGCCCUAUGGCCGGCUAUGCUAUCAAGUCUUGUUCAUGUUUGGCAAGAAUGUAGGUAGACUAUAGUUUCAUCAUUAAUAUGGUGGAUCAAGUGAAGAGUGUGAGCUAGAGAACUUGGUGCUGCCAUCAUCAGCUCGUCGACAAUGACACUAUAACCGAGAAAUUUAAUAUGUAUAGAUCUACAUGUAUUUAAAAUGUCUACUUCUCUGUACAGGAGCAAUGGCUAAUAUCCAGCUAUCCCAACAGUGCUCCUCUUGGCUAUACUAACGGACGAGACUGGACAGUUUGAGACACAGGACUGGAGUAUGACCUGCUCAUUCGAGCGUUGCUGGGUAGCUCAGAGACAUCAAGAGAAUCUACAUUUUCUCAAGCAAUGAGUUACGAGUUGGGGCCUAGAAUCAGAGAAGUCCAGCAGCCUGCUAAAUCUUUUUGAAACGUAAUUUGAAGGCAUUCAAUCAUCCUGAAGUUGCCCUGGGUCACUGUAAUUGUGCUGCAGCACAACUGGCAACUCCCCAGGCCUUUGUGAAGCAGCUCCCUAUGUGCAUCUUUUGUGUACUCACUCUGUGCAUUUUCUGUGUACAAAUUUCAAUUAUUGAUUUAUUAAAUAUUUUUGCCGACCACAAA